CACGUAGGGAGCAAGCGUUGUCCGGAUUUAUUGGGCGUAAAGAGCGUGUAGGCGGCCAGGUAGGUCUGCUGUGAAAACUCGAGGCUCAACCUCGAGACGUCGGCGGAAACCAUCUGGCUAGAGUCCGGAAGAGGAGAGUGGAAUUCCUGGUGUAGCGGUGAAAUGCGCAGAUAUCAGGAAGAACACCCGUGGCGAAGGCGGUCUCUG
rnacentral:rRNA from 1 species